CCAGCAUUCCAUGCAACUGUCUGCUCCCUCCAUCCCGAAGUGCAGUCUGGUUUUGGUUUCUGUCAUGACACAUUCUCUUUUAGGUUUUCUUCUUAGUGAACCAGAUGCUCCUCUGUAAGUAUCUGCUGCUUGUUUCUCUCCCUUGGGUCCAAUAGAAAUGUUGGAAGUUUCCAGGUAUCAUUUAUCAGUUCAAGACCCUCUUCUCUGCUAUAGCCAUACUCUUUUCUAAGUUGAUUUUGUUUGAUCCAGUGACACUAAGCAAUGAAGACUAAGAACACUAUGAUUCCAAGCAUUCCACCAGUGUAGCCCAGGAAACCUUUCACGGCCUGUGCCACAAUGUCUGCUCCACCCUGGGAUGCUAACCUUUUUCAUUCAGAAAGCCAGGCUCUCUAUAAUUCAAAGGUUCAAGGUCUUAUUUGAUGGCAGACCUGUAGAGAUCUAGUUGGAGAAAUAAAAGCCUCCAAACCCUGGAAGUAGAUCUAGAAAGCAACCUACAUCCACUGAAGUGCUGCCCAAGACUGAGGAAUGGUGGUGGUAGAGGAAGAUGAUAGAGAUCAAUUGUGGCUCCUGAGACCCUCUGCAGAUGCAACAGGACCUGUAACUUGUUCUCCUCAUACUCUUGAGUUCAGCCCUUGCAGAGCUGGUGCCCGGCUGCCACCUUAGUCUAGAAGCAAACGCCCACUUUAGAGCCAGCUCCUUAAUACUGACUGCUUUGGAAUUAACAUGAGAGGAAGCAUGUUUGGGAGUGCCCUGUAGAUUAUUACCCAUGGAUUGAACCGAGCAGAGGAAGGACUGAACUGUAAUGCAGCCCCAGCUAAGUCCUCAGCAGAUCCCACAGGUGGCAAUUGAACAAUGAGAACACUUGGACACAGGAAGAGGAACAUCACACACCAGGAUUUUUUUUUUUAAAGGAGAGAUGUAGCUGAGCAAAUAGUGGACAAAUUAAACUGCUUCAGAUCUACAUGAGAAGUAGUGACUUAUAAUGACACCAAAUAGAAAGCACUUGGUGUGACAGGAGAGAGAGAAUGGAAGCUUACAUUGAAUGAUCCAG
rnacentral:lncRNA from 1 species